CGCCUUGUAGUCCAACGGUACGAUACCAGCAAUCCUUGGAAACGAGAUCAGCUGGAGAUUGCGAGUUCGAUUCCCGCCAAGGCCA